rnacentral:rRNA from 1 species
UCCUACGGGAGGCAGCAGUGGGGAAUAUUGCACAAUGGGCGGAAGCCUGAUGCAGCGACGCCGCGUGAGGGAUGACGGCCUUCGGGUUGUAAACCUCUUUCAGUAGGGAAGAAGCGAAAGUGACGGUACCUGCAGAAGAAGCGCCGGCUAACUACGUGCCAGCAGCCGCGGUAAUACGUAGGGCGCAAGCGUUAUCCGGAAUUAUUGGGCGUAAAGAGCUCGUAGGCGGUUUGUCGCGUCUGCUGUGAAAGACCGGGGCUCAACUCCGGUUCUGCAGUGGGUACGGGCAGACUAGAGUGAUGUAGGGGAGACUGGAAUUCCUGGUGUAGCGGUGAAAUGCGCAGAUAUCAGGAGGAACACCGAUGGCGAAGGCAGGUCUCUGGGCAUUAACUGACGCUGAGGAGCGAAAGCAUGGGGAGCGAACAGGAUUAGAUACCCUGGUAGUCCAUGCCGUAAACGUUGGGCACUUGGUGUGGGGGACAUUCCACGUUUUCCCCCCGUUUCUGCCUUAAGUGCCCCGCUGGGAGACGGCGCAGGU